CCAUGAUGGUACUGUUAUGCUUGAGCCAUCCAUCUGUGCAUUCCCUUUGCUGACCCGAGAAAGCACCUGCUUCACCCUCUGUGGCCUUUGUGACCAUGGGAGCAAGUCUGACACUUGUGGUGCAGUGUUGCAGCUUUGCCCUUCACCUAUUCUUUCCACUACACAGGGCUACCUGGAAAACCACUUCAGACACAAAUAUUGUGUCUUCUGUCUGGCUCAGCUGCACAGAGCCUCACAAGAGUAACAGGACUGUUGAAUGAAUGACAUUCAGCUUGGCUGCAGAGGGAUGGGACUUCAAACACUUCGAACCUUUCAAAACAUCUGCCUCAACUUGUAAGGAUUCUUCUCUGAUCUCCAUCAGGUACUUUCAGACUACAGUGGAACAUCUCACAUCCCUGAUAGACUUUACUUUGUGGUCUGUUGGCAAAUGUCAAGACAGCUUGGAGGAAUCAAUCCCUGGCAGUGGGGAUAUCUGGGCCUCUUGGCAAAUCACAGUGCUGUGCCUGCAAUGCCAUUAGCAUGGAACUGUUGCAGUGGGAAGGGACCUUUGGAGGUUUAUGGUCCAGCCUCCUUUUCAAAGCUGGAUCAAGACUGAAUUCAUGCCAAGUUUCUAAGGGCUUCAGCUAGUCAGUCUUUGAAAGUCUCUAAGGAUGGAGACUGUACAGCCUCACUGGGAAACCUGUUCCAAGAUUUGAAUAUUUUAACUAUAGAGAGAAGUUCUCUCUUUUCAGAACCUUCCUUUGUUCAACUUCAGCCUGCUGUGCCUUGGCCUUCCACUGUGCACCACACUGGUAGACCAGCUCUGUGGUGUUGCUUGGUAGGGGCAGGCUUCCAUCAGGUCCCCUCAAAGUCAUCUCCAGGCCAAACAAGGCCUGGUCCAUCAGCAUCUUCUCACAGGCAAAGUACUCCAGCUCUGAACAUUUUCCAGUUCAUUAAUGCAUUUCCUCUACUGGGGGUCCAAAACUGGAUGCAGUAUCUAGACGUGGUCCCAAAAGUGUUUAACAGAGAGGUUUAUUCCCUGUCCUCAAUUUCCUGACCAUGUUUCUGUUGACAUCUACUGGUAUGUUGAUACUCCGUUUGAACAGAAGUCUGAAAUACUCCAUAAGACAUCUUACAAUGUCUUAUUUUGUAUUUUUUUUUCUAUAUCUGUGUGCUAUCCGGUUCAUUUGUAUGUGUUUGUUGUUGUUGUUGUUGUUGUUGCUAUUGUCCAUUUGUUUUGUUUUUAUUGUAAACCAAAACAGCAUGCUAUUAUUUUGCCAUUAAUCCAAACCACAACUUUAAAUCAAACCAUACUCUUGAAAAAAAACAGUUGAUCUCACCCUCUUCUGAGGUAAAAGACAUCCUGUAGUUCAGUUUAACAUACGCAGCCAUUGUCUGAUCAGAAGGUGAUGCUAUUACAGAUAGCUUAUGGGAAUAACAUAGAAAGAAGAGCUCAUACAACAGUGUGAUAACUUUGUAUGAUAUAUUUCACCCCUAAGCAUCUCGAAGAGCUUUACAAAUUGAUUUAUAUUCUACACACAAGGAUAAUUUAUUUCAUCCAUACAUUUUUAUUAGCUGUGCAGCAACAUCUCAGUUUAGGACAGGAAUUAAAGGCCAUAUCAAAUCCAAAAUGCAAGGUGAACAUACUUAUAAAGAAUCUCUCACAGAGUUCACUUCAAACUGCUUUCUUUCAAUGCUGCACCACCAGUAAGGCAUAAUUCCUGAAAUAUUAGGCUAUUGAAGGAUUUACUGUCCAGAUGUGAAAUUGAGAGAUUUAGUGUGUUCACAAAAAUAGUUGUAGCUAGUAUACUUAUGCAAAGAGUGAAUCGGGAUACUUUUUUGCGGCUUAUAAUUGCAAUCAUUUUAGAAUAUAUGUUUCUGUUUCUGUAGUUUUCCUGGUCAGCUUUCAUUUCCUGUUAAUUUUCACAAUGUUGUGAUGUGAUUGAAAUGACUUACAUGAGAGCAUACAUCAGUUAAAAUUGUAUUUUUCCAGGGGGAUUCAUUUAGAUGACUUUAGAGUAGUUAUCUAUCUUGAUGAAUGAUUCCAAGAAAUAAUCAUUCAAAUAUUUAUCCAGUUUCAACACCAAAUUUAUUCAAAAUCUAAUUCCACCAACCAUUCUUCUUACUCUAUAUUUCUGUUAACACGCUGUUUUUAUUUAUUUUGAAUAAAAUAAAUGUUGAGUGUUUUGGUAUAAAUACA
rnacentral:lncRNA from 1 species